AUUAACACCUCCUAAAGAUGGAUGUUUGCAGCAUGACACUUCAAGAUCCAUAGACUCCAAUGGGAACAUGCAUGCAUAAGAAGGGAAGCUCUUGCUAUGGGACUCUGGGUUCAGUCCUGCAAGCCAAGCCUCAGAGGAAUCUCAGAGGAACCCCGACUCCUCACUCAGUCAGCCUUGCCUGGCCAGUAAGACUGUCUUGAACCACCAUGGACUGGUAACUCUGCACCAUCUGCAGGACCUGUGUGCUUACACCUGUCUCUGAAAAUCUGCAAUGUCCCUGACAGAUGUGAGUCUGAACUCAGCCACUUGCAAUCUGGAGAUGUUAAAAUUUGAGCCCACAUCUUGGUAUUUGACUCCAGUUUUCCAGAUGCAGCAGUGAAAUGCUUGGACAGAACUCUCACAAAGAAUGAAUGGCAGAGCUGGGAAUCAUACCAAUGAAUCAUAUUGAAUGAGUGAAAGCAUUGCUGCUAUUGGAACCUUGGCAGCCACUCAAACUUUAAAAGUUCAAUUUGGACAGCUAACUAUAAAGGGUCAAAUUCUCCACUCAGCAGUCACUGAAGUCAAUGUGCAAGUAUUCAAGAGCCAAUUUGACCCCAACAGUUAGAAGAACGGAAUUGAAUUUUUAUAGAACAAGGUACCAUACGGUACCAUACGUGGCUAUUUUUAGGUGGAAUUCUGCUGACACAAGUGUAAAUCUAGUCUUCCAGACAGGCCUUUAUUAUGAAAAGGGGGAAAAGCAAAUCAACCACUCACAGCAACAACAGCCAACAAAAACAAUAACACCAAUUUACCUGAUUCUUCAUCCUAUGAGAAGUUGAUGUAAAAAUGCUACCAUUCUUUUUUAGUAAAGUUUGUAUAGAUUUGUUUUCAAAGUCAAAAGGGAACAUUAUGAUCAUCUAGUCAGACUCCUGCAUAACAUGGGCCAUAGCAUUUUAGGUAGUGAUUCCUGGAUCAGGCUCAUAAGUUCUGAAGUAAAGCAUUCACUUUGUGCAGGUGU